AAUUGCCUGAACCCGGCAAGUGGAGUUUGCAGUGAGCCAAGAUUGCACCACUGCACUCCAGCGUGGGCAACACAGUGAAACUCCGUCUCAAAUAAUGAAAUAAAAUCUUAGAAAAAUGUGUACAUUAAUUCAUUCAGUGUUCUUUUAACACAUGUGCUAAGUGACCCCUACGUUCCCAGAUAGUUCUAGGUGAUGCAAAUACAGAGUGAUGAAUAAAGGAGAUACGGUCUUUACACCUUUGAGAGUUUAAGUCAUAGUGGAAGGAGAUAGACAGUCAACAAGUAAGCUAAUAAAAGAGCACCUGAUAGUGAUUAGUGCUGUGAAGAAAAUAAAAUAUUAGUGUGAAAAUAACAGGGAGGGGCUGGGUGUGGUGGCUCACGCCUGUAAUCGCAGCACUUUGGGAGGCCAAGGCAGGCGAAUCACCUGAGGUUGGGAGUUCAAGACUAGCCUGACCAACAUGGAGAAACCCCAUCUCUACUAAAAAUACAAAAUUAGCCGGGAUGGUGGCGCAUGCCUGUAAUCUCAGCUACUCAGGAGGCAGAGGCAGGAGAAUCACUUGAUCCCAGGAGGUGGAGGUUGCGGUGAGCCAAGAUCCUGCCUUUGCACUGUAGCCUGGGCAACAAGAGCAAAACUCCAUCUCAAAAAAAAAAAAAAGAAAGAAAAUAACAGGGAGGGAUACUCAGGAAAUGUAUUGGUUUUCUUAGAACUGUCUUGUGAUCCUAAACUCUCUUUGGCCUUUCUUAUUCUCAAAAACACCAUUUGUGGCAUGGUCCUCUGCAGAGAAUGGUAGCAGCGUGAGGUGGAGGCACCACAAUCCCUGAUUAUCUGGGCCAAAAGCAGCUCAUAGCCCACUUCUGUUCAGAUCUGUGUACAGGUGUUCAUAAGACCAAGAUGAAUAAGAUGCUCUGUUCCUGUCAAACGGUUCAUGUUCCCUUCUGUGUUAGUCCAUUCUUGCACUAAUACUUGAGACUGGAUAAUUUGUAAAGAUAAGAGGUUUGAUUGACUCAUGCUUCUGCAGGCUAUACAGGAAGUAUAGCGGCUUCUGCUUCUGGGGAGACCUCAGGAAACUUCCAGUCAUGGUGUAAGGCAGAGGGGGAGUGAGCCAUCUCACAUGGCGGGAUUAGGAGCAAGAGGGAGUGAGGGGGGAGAUACUACACACUUAGAAACAACCAGAUCUUGGGAAAACUCACUAUUACGAGAACAGCAGCGAAGGGAUGGUGCUGAACCAUUUAUGAGAAAGCUAGCCUCAUGAUCCCACCACCAGGCCCCACCUCCAUCAUGGGGACUACAGUUUGACAGGAGAUUUGGUGGGGACAGAUCCAAACCAUGUCACUUUCAAAGGACUCACCUCCAGCAGGAGGGAGAUAAAGGUCAAUUAGCCAUUGUAGUAUUACUGUAUAGUGAUGAUUGCAGAGCUAGGCAUAGAUGUGGCACAGGGAACUCUCACCUGUCUUUUGAGGAGAGAUCAGAGGAGGAAAUGGAACCCAAAGAUCUGUCUACCCCCUCAGAGAUGCUGGUAAUUCUGCAUGAAAUAGUGCUCGCCUCGGCAGCACGUAUACUAAAAUUGGAACAAUACAGAGAAGAUUUGCAUGGCCCCUGCGCCAGGAUGACACGCAGAUUCGUGAAGCAUUUCAUAUUUUUGUCAUCCUGGACUUCGAGCAGGAAAUGGCCACCGCUGCAUCCUCCUCCCUGGAGAAGAGCUACGAGCUGCCCUAUGGCCAGGUCAUCACCGUCGGCAACAAGCGGUUCCAGUGUCCGGAGGCGCUGUUCCAGCCUUCCUUCCUGGGUAUGGAAUCUUGCGGCAUCCACAAGACCACGUUCAACUCCAUCAUGAAGUGUGACGUGGACAUCGACAAAGACCUGUACACCAGCGUGGUGCUGUCCGGCGGCACCACCAUGUACCCGGGCAUCACCGACAGGAUACAGAAAGAGAUCAACGCCAUGGCACCCAGCACCAUGAAGAUCAAGCUCAUAGUGCAAGUACUCGAUGUGGAUCAGCGGCUCCAUCCUGGCUUCACUGUCCACCUUCCAGCAGAUGUGGAUUAGCAAGCAGGAGUACAAGUCAGGCCCCUCUGUCGCCCACUGCAAAUGCUUCUAAAUGGACUGCGAGCAGAUGCAUAGCAUUUGCUGCAUGGGUUAAUUCAGAAGUAUAAAUUUGCCCCUGGCAAAUGCAUAUACCUCAUGCUAGCCUCACAAAACUGGAAUAAGCCUUCGAAAAGAAAUUGUCCUUGAAGCUUGUAUCUGAUAUCAGCACGGGAUUGUAGAACUUGUUGCUGAUUUUGACCUUGUAUUCAAGUUAACUGUUCCCCUUGGUAUUUGUUUAAUACCCUGUACGCAUCUUUGCUUUCAACCCUUAGUACAUGUGGCUUGGUCAUUGCAUGGUAAGGUCAGAACGUGCCUGUGGAAGACAAGUCUGUGGCUUGGUGAGUCUGCAUGGCCAGCAGUCUGCAAUCUAUGCAGGGUAUUAAUAUAUCAUGGCUGAGUGUUCUGGGAUUUCUCUGGAGGCUGGCAAGGGCUCCUGAACCAGUUGUUUCUGUCCUGCGGGUCUGUCAAGGUUGGCAAGUCCAAGCCAUAGGACCCAGUUUCCUUUCUUAGCUGAUGUUUUCCUGCCAGAACACUGUGGGCCGUUACUUGCCGUGAGUUGGAAGCAGUUUGCAUUUACACCUGUAAAUGUAUUCAUGGUUCUAAUUUAUGUGAAAUUUUUUUGUAUGCAAUUCUCAAUUCUUUAAAGAGAUGAGAACAGAUUUUGUUUUUCUACUGUUACGUGAGAACAUUAAGCCCCAGCAGCACCUCAUUGUGAAGGAAAAAUAAAAGUGCUGCAGUAACCAGAAAAAAAGAAAAGAAAAACCAGUUUAAUGGCUGCUGCUACUAAAAAAACAGCUAGAUUAGAUGCUUCCUCUGGCCUAAACAUUGUAUGUUCACUCACUCAAUCCUUAUGUCAACCUAUGAAAAUAGAUACUGUUGUCCCCAUUUUAUAGAUGAGGAAGUAAGGCUUAGAAGCCAGUGUGGGGCUUUUUUGCUGAGUUAGCCUACCUUCCCAGAUUGAGCUCCAGGGUGAGUGAGUCAUUUAUUCAUUCAUUAAAUCUUCAUAAAGCACCUAUUAUGUACUAGAUCCUAAAUAGAAGGUAGUUCACAAAGCGGCUCUGGACCUGCCUUCCUGGAGCUUCCAGGCUGACAAACCACUUGGAGGGUUUCUUCUCUGGGGCUUCCAGCCUUUACUCUGAUUUCCAUCAGCUGCUGCCAGCACAGCUGUGGCGUGUGGAAUCCUGGUGGGACCCAGACUUCCUCCCAAGCAGAUGAAAGGAAUGGGGGCAGAGAUGGGGGUGGAGGGCAGUCCUGAGAUCAGGAUGAGCUACUUUCCCAUAAUCCUGAGUGUCCAUCCUGUGGCCUGUGGAUCUUCUGCAACUUAUUCUAUGUUAGUGCAGUCAGUCAAAUAGUGCUUAUGUAUUGAAUACCUCGAGAUGACAACACUGAGCAGCUGCCAAGCAGAAGGCAGGGUCCUAGGCACUGUGUAAAUGGAUAAGUCUAGCCAUUUAAUCCUCACAGUAGCUCCUCAUUAAGGUAAUUUUUACUAUCCACAGAGAGAUAGGAAUGAGUAACUUGCCCAGAACAAAGUCAAGCCUCAACCCAGAUGAUAUCUGAGCAUGACUUCACUCUUGGCGUUUGUUGUUUUUAAUUUUUUAUUUGUUUGUUUAUUUAUUCAUUUAUUUAGAGACAGAGUCUUGCUCUGUCACCCAGGCUGGAGUG